rnacentral:rRNA from 1 species
UACGAAGGUGGCAAGCGUUACUCGGAAUUACUAGGCGUAAAGGGCAGGUAGGUGGUUUGAUAAGUCUGUUGUGAAAGCUCCCGGCUUAACUGGGAGAGGUCAACAGAAACUAUCAGGCUUGAGUAUGGGAGAGGGUACUGGAAUUCCCGGAGUAGCGGUGAAAUGCGCAGAUAUCGGGAGGAACACCAAUGGCGAAAGCAGGUACCUGGACCAUUACUGACACUCAGCUGCGAAAGCUAGGGGAGCAAACAGG